rnacentral:rRNA from 1 species
GAUGAACGCUAGCGGGAGGCCUAACACAUGCAAGCCGAGCGGUAUGGAAUCUUCGGAUUUUAGAGAGCGGCGUACGGUGCGGAACACGUGUGCAACCUACCUUUAUCUGGAGGAUAGCCUUUCGAAAGGAAGAUUAAUACUCCAUAAUAUAUUGAUUGGCAUCAAUUAAUAUUGAAAGCUCUGGCGGAUAGAGAUGGGCACGCGCAAGAUUAGUUAGUUGGUGAGGUAACGGCUCACCAAGACGAUGAUCUUUAGGGGCCUGAGAGGUGAUCCCCACACUGGUACUGAGACACGGACCAGACUCCUACGGGAGGCAGCAGUGAGGAAUAUUGGACAAUGGGUGCAAGCCUGAUCCAGCCAUCCCGCGUGAAGGACGACUGCCCUAUGGGUUGUAAACUUCUUCUGUAUAGGGAUAAACCUCUCCUCGUGAGGAGAGCUGAAGGUACUAUACGAAUAAGCACCGGCUAACUCCGUGCCAGCAGCCG